AGAGUCCCGACAUGGUAAGGGUUAACCACCCACCAUUACCGAGUGUUGCGCCUCUGGCGGAACGGUGCCUUGGUCGUGAAGAUUGGGGCGUGCGUGAACAAGAGAGGUGAAGCGAACAUAGGGUAUGUUGCAGGCGGUUUGGAGACCUAGCUCCUUAGAUGGAAUCGCUUCGAAAUGAACAGUCCCGGUUGGCCAGCGUUGUAACUUGCGUGAAGCCCAUACGAAGCAAGCGCAUUGGUUAGCCUGUAGCGAGCCGGCGGAGUUCUCAAUCU
rfam:Thioalkalivibrio denitrificans strain ALJD Ga0073317_1048, whole genome shotgun sequence.